GACGAACGCUGGCGGCGUGCCUAAUACAUGCAAGUCGAGCGGACCUCUUCGGAGGUCAGCGGCGGACGGGUGAGUAACACGUGGGCAACCUGCCUGUAAGACUGGGAUAACUCCGGGAAACCGGAGCUAAUACCGGAUAUUAUUUCAAACCGCAUGGUUUGAAAUUCAAAGACGGUUUCGGCUGUCACUUACAGAUGGGCCCGCGGCGCAUUAGCUAGUUGGUGAGGUAAUGGCUCACCAAGGAAACGAUGCGUAGCCGACCUGAGAGGGUGAUCGGCCACACUGGGACUGAGACACGGCCCAGACUCCUACGGGAGGCAGCAGUAGGGAAUCUUCCGCAAUGGACGAAAGUCUGACGGAGCAACGCCGCGUGAGUGAUGAAGGUUUUCGGAUCGUAAAACUCUGUUGUCAGGGAAGAACAAGUGCCGGAGUAACUGCCGGCACCUUGACGGUACCUGACCAGAAAGCCACGGCUAACUACGUGCCAGCAGCCGCCGUAA
rnacentral:rRNA from 1 species